GUACGUACAAGCAGUGGGAGCACAGGUUUACCUGUGUGACUGCGUACCUUUUGUAUAAUGGGUCAGCGACUUAUAUUCUGUAGCAAGGUUAACCGUAUAGGGGAGCCGGAGGGAAACCGAGUCUUAAUUGGGCGUUAAGUUGCAGGGUAUAGACCCGAAACCCGGUGAUCUAGCCAUGGGCAGGUUGAAGGUUGGGUAACACUAACUGGAGGACCGAACCGACUAAUGUUGAAAAAUUAGCGGAUGACCUGUGGCUGGGGGUGAAAGGCCAAUCAAACCGGGAGAUAGCUGGUUCUCCCCGAAAGCUAUUUAGGUAGCGCCUCGUGAAUUCAUCUCCGGGGGUAGAGCACUGUUUCGGCUAGGGGGCCAUCCCGGCUUACCAACCCGAUGCAAACUGCGAAUACCGGAGAAUGUUAUCACGGGAGACACACGGCGGGUGCUAACGUCCGUCGUGAAGAGGGAAACAACCCAGACCGCCAGCUAAGGUCCCAAAGUCAUGGUUAAGUGGGAAACGAUGUGGGAAGGCCCAGACAGCCAGGAUGUUGGCUUAGAAGCAGCCAUCAUUUAAAGAAAGCGUAAUAGCUCACUGGUCGAGUCGGCCUGCGCGGAAGAUGUAACGGGGCUAAACCAUGCACCGAAGCUGCGGCAGCGAACGUAUCACCCAAGACAACUUUACGGAGUUGACGAUUGACGGAGCGAAGCGACGUCAAAGCGUUCAUUAAAGUCGAGUUGGCUUAGGGAUACGUUCGUUGGGUAGGGGAGCGUUCUGUAAGCCUGUGAAGGUGUGUCGUGAGGCAUGCUGGAGGUAUCAGAAGUGCGAAUGCUGACAUAAGUAACGAUAAAGCGGGUGAAAAGCCCGCUCGCCGGAAGACCAAGGGUUCCUGUCCAACGUUAAUCGGGGCAGGGUGAGUCGACCCCUAAGGCGAGGCCGAAAGGCGUAGUCGAUGGGAAACGGGUUAAUAUUCCCGUACUUGGUGUUACUGCGAAGGGGGGACGGAGAAGGCUAUGUUGGCCGGGCGACGGUUGUCCCGGUUUAAGCGUGUAGGUGUGUGUUCCAGGUAAAUCCGGUUCACUUUAACACUGAGGCGUGACGACGAGGCACUACGGUGCUGAAGCAACAAAUGCCCUGCUUCCAGGAAAAGCCUCUAAGCAUCAGGUAACAUCAAAUCGUACCCCAAACCGACACAGGUGGUCAGGUAGAGAAUACCAAGGCGCUUGAGAGAACUCGGGUGAAGGAACUAGGCAAAAUGGUGCCGUAACUUCGGGAGAAGGCACGCUGACACGUAGGUGAAGUGAUUUACUCA
rnacentral:rRNA from 1 species